AACGUAGGACGCAAGCGUUAUCCGGAGUUACUGGGCGUAAAGCGCGGGCAGGCGGCUCUGUAAGUCUGAUGUGAAAGCGCCCGGCUCAACCGGGCGAGGCCAUUGGAAACUACAAAGCUGGAGGGCAGUAGAGGCAGGCGGAAUUCCGGGAGGAGUGGUGAAAUGCGUAGAGAUCCGGAGGAACACCAGAGGCGAAGGCGGCCUGCUGGGCUGCACCUGACGCUGAGCCGCGAAAGCCAGGGGAGCGAACGGG
rnacentral:rRNA from 1 species